rnacentral:lncRNA from 10 species
CAAUUAUAGGUAAGAGAUCUAAGAAAGAUAGGGACUAAGUAAGUAGUAAGGUUAUAAAUUAAACAUUACUGAAGAGUUUAUAACCCUUUCCCAUUUAUAGAAGGAUACAAGGUCUCUAUCCUUCUUAGAAGACAUUUUUUUAAUGCUGCUGAAAAAGACUAGAUUUCUAUAUAUAGUAAAGAGGUAGCGAGAUAAUUGAGUAAGAAAUGAAGAGGAUAGUUGAUUAGGUGGAGGUACAAUUCAGAUUGUUUUAGGCAGAGAAAAGUGAAAAAGGGAUUAGAGCCAUCACACUGUUGAAUGAAUCUUUAGGGGAGGAGUUGCAAUAAGCAGAUUUCUUUUGAUAAGUUUUGCUAUGUAUUGAUAGUGUUACUCUCAGUACUCAGUAAUGCUUCUUGGUCAGAAUUUUUAUUUAAUUGUACCACCAUAGAGUGAUGUGCCUUUGAGCAACAACAAGUAUUGAAUUAUAAUCUAUGUAGAUAUAUGCUAAGAAGAAUAAAUACAGAGUACUAUGACAGCAUAAUUUAAUUAAUUAUUAAGGUAUCAUUGAGGAAACAAAAUAUGAGACUUGAAUAGGAAUUAUCCAAUUAUUCAAGAAAGGUUGGGGUGGGCAGAACAUAUUUUUGGUGUCUUUGGUAGGAGCAGUUUUGAUAUAAUGGCAAAGGUAGAAGCCAGAUGGAGAGUCAGUUCAGAUUCAACAUGGGCUUAGGAGAUAAAGUAGCAUAUAUAAAGAUUCUUCCCAAUAAAUUUGACUUGAAAUGAAAAAGAAAAUAUUAUAGCAUAUGGAAAGUAAUUUGGGAUUCAAGGAGAGAUUUAUUUUUCUUUAAUAUGGGAGAUGCCAGAGAAUGUUUGAAUACUCACGUACAACAAUGUGUAGAAAGGGAAGAUAUAGUCAAUGGAUGUGACUAAAAAAUGAGUAAGAUAGGAUCCCAAAUACAAUAAGAGUGCUAGGAUUAUAGAAGAAGGGAAACCAAACUCUGACAUCCAUUAUAACAAGAGUGAAUAAAGAGAGUAUUGGUGACUGUUCAGGUUAAGUUUACAGUUUGGUGAUGAGAUGAGUUGAGUUCUUAUCUGAUGGCUUCAAGAUUUUACAAAAUAGUAAUUGAGGUCAUCAGCUAAAAAGUGUGAUGAAAAGAUGAAGGGAGUGAGAGGUUUGAUUAGUGUGGAAAAUGCAUUAAAAAGUCAUUGAUAUAAAUAUUUUAGCACCAUAUGAAAAUAGAGUAAGAUUGAUGGACAUUGUUGACUACUCAAUUAAUACUGUUAGGAAUAUAUAAUGCCAAUCUAUGUGAUUUUAUCUAACAACCCUCAAUUGGCAGGAUGUAAGCUCAAAGGAAAUUAGUAGGGUCUUGACCAACAUGCGAGAAGGGAUGGAGAGAGGGACAUAGAAAUUAAAGACAUUGAUAACAAAAUGAUUUUAAUGAUUGUCUCUGGAACUUAAGCAGGAAAAGAAGAAAGCUGAAAACACACUGAGGAUUAUGGGAGAGGGGCAAGUGCAUGAAGCUUCUCAAUGACAUACAGACACUCUAAAAGCUCAAGAGAUCAAUUAUUCAACUUCAAGAACUGAAAUUUGAACACAGAUUUUGAGCUUCCAAAUCAGCAGCUACACAGGGAUAUUCAUCCAAGC